AAAUAACAAGCCUCAUAUCUCCUGUAUUUCCUUCAGACUGGGAUCAUGGGCAGACACUCGGCCAUCAUUGUUUUACUAAUGUUGGUCUUAAUAUUUCAAUCACACUGUCGUCUACUUGACACUCAUAAUAGAGAUGAAAGGAAAAUGGGCGUAAGAGCGGAGUACAACACGGAGAUUGAAAAGAGAAACACCGAAGAAGUAGAAGAUUAUGGUGGUGGUCAUAGUUCGCCGGCGCCAGGUCGUGGAAAUUAGAGAAUUUACAUUCGUAUAGAGCAGCGUUCACCUUAAGUUUGUUAGCGGCAAAGGCAAAGCAGCGUGUUUCCUCCUCCCUUACUAUUAUAUUUUUGAUAAUGAACUGGUCAAGGUUGUUACAACUACUUCUUGUAGAGGGCUUGCUAAGCCUUCGAGUGGGCUAAAAUUUGUUGAGGCCACAGAGAAUCUUAAUGUCAAGGACGACAAACCACUCAAAUUCAUAGGCGAUGGCUAUGAAAGUUGAGGAUCUUAAUGUCAAGGAUGACAAACCACUCAAAUUCAUUUGGACUGUGAGAGAAACAGAGAAUGGAUUGAACUCUUGGAAUCAACAAAAGCUUUAUGUAGAAGUGAGUGAUGUAGGUUAUGAUUGUGGAUAAGAAAAUUGAGAAGAAGAAGAAAAUCAAGGCUCCUGCAGAAACCAAGAAC